rnacentral:rRNA from 1 species
UCUCCUACGGGAGGCAGCAGUGAGGAAUAUUGGUCAAUGGACGCAAGUCUGAACCAGCCAAGUAGCGUGCAGGAUGACGGCCCUCCGGGUUGUAAACUGCUUUUAGUUGGGAAUAAAAGGGGGCUCGUGAGCCCCGUAUUGUAUGUACCAUCAGAAAAAGGACCGGCUAAUUCCGUGCCAGCAGCCGCGGUAAUACGGAAGGUCCGGGCGUUAUCCGGAUUUAUUGGGCGUAAAGCGAGUGCAGGCGGUUCAAUAAGUCU